UAGGGAAUAUUAGUAAUGGGCGAAAGCCUGAACUAGCAACGCCACGUGUGCGAAGAAGGCCUUCGGGUUGUAAAGCACUUUUUGAGAGGAUGAGGAAGGACGGUACUCUCAGAAUAAGUCUCGUCUAACUACGUGCCAGCAGCCGCGGUAACACGUAGGAGGCGAACGUUAUCCGGAUUUACUGGGCGUAAAGCGCGUGUAGGUGGUUUGGUAAGUAGGGCGUGAAAGCUCCUGGCUCAACUGGGAGAGGCCGUUCUAAACUGCCGAACUAGAGGAUGGUAGAGGGAGGUGGAAUUCCGGGUGUAGCGGUGGAAUGCGCGGAUAUCCGGAGGAACACCAGUGGCGAAAGCGGCCUCCUGGACCACUCCUGACACUCAGACGCGAAAGCUAGGGUAGCAAACGG
rnacentral:rRNA from 1 species